rnacentral:rRNA from 1 species
AUUGAACGCUGGCGGCAGGCCUAACACAUGCAAGUCGAGCGGAGCGGCGGACGGGUGAGUAAUGCCAAGGAAUCGGCCUGGUAGUGGGGGAUAACGUCCGGAAACGGGCGCUAAUACCGCAUACUAUCAGAUGAGCUUAGGGAGGAUUGGCAAGUUGGGGGGGUAAAGGCCUACCAAGGCGACGAUCCGAAACUGGUCUGAGAGGAUGAUCAGUCAAACUGGACCUGAGACACGGGCCAGCCCCCUCCGGAAGGCAGCAUGGGGGAAUAUUGGUCAAGGGGCGAAAGCCUGAUCCGGCCAUGCCGCGUGUGUGAAGAAGGUCUUCGGAUUUUAAGGCACUUUAAGUUGGGAGGCGUUUCCAACAGAAUAAGCACCGGCUAACUGCGUGCCAGCAGCCGCGGUAAUAC